rnacentral:tRNA from 1 species
GCCUGGGUGGCUCAGUCGGUUGAGCGUCCGACUUCAGCUCAGGUCAUGAUCUCAUAGUCCGUGAGUUCGAGCCCCAUGUCGGGCU